rnacentral:rRNA from 1 species
CAUGCAAGUCGAGCGCCCGUAGCAAUACGGGAGCGGCAGACGGGUGAGUAACACGUGGGAACGUGCCUUUCGGUUCGGAACAACCCAGGGAAACUUGGGCUAAUACCGGAUACGCCCUUACGGGGAAAGAUUUAUCGCCGAAAGAUCGGCCCGCGUCUGAUUAGCUAGUUGGUGGGGUAAAGGCCUACCAAGGCGACGAUCCAUAGCUGGUCUGAGAGGAUGAUCAGCCACAUUGGGACUGAGACACGGCCCAAACUCCUACGGGAGGCAGCAGUGGGGAAUAUUGGACAAUGGGCGCAAGCCUGAUCCAGCCAUGCCGCGUGAGUGAUGAAGGUCUUAGGAUUGUAAAGCUCUUUCACCGGAGAAGAUAAUGACGGUAUCCGGAGAAGAAGCCCCGGCUAACUUCGUGCCAGCAGCCGCGGUAAUACGAAGGGGGCUAGCGUUGUUCGGAAUUACUGGGCGUAAAGCGUACGUAGGCGGACAUUUAAGUCAGGGGUGAAAUCCCGGGGCUCAACCCCGGAACUGCCUUUGAUACUGGCUGUCUUGAGUGUGGAAGAGGUGAGUGGAAUUGCGAGUGUAGAGGUAAAAUUCGUAGAUAUUCGCAGGAACACCAGUGGCGAANGCGACUUUCUGGUCUGUAACUGACACUGA